UAUCUUCCUUACCACAAUUUGUUUGUCUUUGCCCUGAGUUUCCUUUGACUCUUCCCAUUCCUUCCCAUUAUAUUUCUACUAUGCUUAUCAAAAGGUUAGUAUCCAUUUUGUUAUUAUUGCAAUUAAGAAAAAACAGUAGUCAGACUUUUAAAAUUAAAGAUAACAAAUUAAAGAUCCUUUCUUUGCUUGUUAGGUACUUGAAUUAAAUGUGCAGUAAGAACCACAAAAUGUAUGUUACAGCUCCUGCAUAGGAUCUCUUGGCACCUCCCAGGAUCUGACUUGACAAUUUUUAUAGUGAUUCAUAAGUGUCUCAUACCAAUCAUGAGUUUUCAAAGAAACACUGGUAAUUAUACUGAAGUUUCUAACACUAACACCUGGAAGCAAAAUCACAGAUCUAUUAAAUCUCAGAUCUAUUAAGUACAUUAUAGAACAUAUAUAUUACCAAUCACUUGUAUGAUAUAAACUUUCCUAAAAACAAUAAGAAUUGGAUGGCACAGAAGUUAUUUUAGUUGAAUUUUCACACAGUAAGAGAUUGCAGAAAGAAGAGAGAACAGCAAAAUAAAAUAUUUUCCAUGGACAUGACACAGAAAGGCUGCACUUAGAAACUCCAGAAUCAGCAGAGGAAUCAUUUGCAUGAUCCCCUGAAGUCCACGACGCUGCCAAAGAGAACAAAUAUGGAGAGAAGAGGGAUGUCUGGCACAAGUCUCAACAGGGAGAAGCUUGUUAAUAAGGUUGUAAAUACUUGGAAACUUGCUGAAUUUGUGGAGUUAGCUGCUAGAAAAGUAUGUUAGCUGUAUUGCUGUAAGGUGAUGUAAAGCCUCCUGACAGAACAAAGAUAUUCCUUUCUUAAACAGUAAGAUAUGAUAGUAGCGUAAUAUUAAAGAAUGUUUAAGAAAAAUAUAUAAAUGAAAAUACUGACAAAAUUAUAGCAGACUCCUCAGUUUCUUCCUAAAGCUUUAACCAGCUUUUCUCUUCAUAGAAAAGCCUUUGGGAUUUCUGAAAAAAAACCAACAAAAAAAACAAAACAACAACAACAACAAAAUAACCUCAUUAUGUAUUUAUGAAAGAAAGCCCCCUCUCUGGAAUAUUCUUCGCAAAUACUCUUCACAUUAGUGCCUGUUGUGUAUAUACUGUUACCCUUUUUGGUUCUUAAAUCACUAUAUACAUUUAGCUUGAUCAUACAUACCACUUUCUAUUUCUUGCAUCUUCUAUUGCUUAUGUGUAACCAUAUAUAAAUAUGGCAACAGA